GGCGGACGGGUGAGUAACGCGUAAGGAACUUGCCUCUUGGACUGGGACAACUGUUGGAAACGACAGCUAAUACCGGAUAUUAUGAGAUUCUCGCAUGAGAAACUUAUGAAAGCUAUAUGCGCCAAGAGAGAGCCUUGCGUUCCAUUAGCUAGUUGGUGGGGUAACGGCCCACCAAGGCGACGAUGGAUAGCCGGCCUGAGAGGGUGAACGGCCACAAGGGGACUGAGACACGGCCCUUACUCCUACGGGAGGCAGCAGUGGGGAAUAUUGGACAAUGGGCCACAAGCCUGAUCCAGCAAUUCUGUGUGCACGAUGAAGGUCUUCGGAUUGUAAAGUGCUUUCAGUUGGGAAGAAGAAAGUGACGGUACCAACAGAAGAAGCGACGGCUAAAUACGUGCCAGCAGCCGCGGUAAUACGUAUGUCGCAAGCGUUAUCCGGAUUUAUUGGGCGUAAAGCGCGUCUAGGCGGAAAAAUAAGUCUGAUGUUAAAAUGCGGGGCUCAACUCCGUAUUGCGUUGGAAACUGUCUUUUCUAGAGUACUGGAGAGGUGGGCGGAACUACAAGUGUAGAGGUGAAAAUUCGUAGAUAUUUGUAGGAAUGCCGAUGGAGAAGUCAGCUCACUGGACAGAUACUGACGCUGAAGCGCGAAAGCGUGGGGA
rnacentral:rRNA from 1 species